GAACGACAUAUUAAAAAAUACGUGAUCUGAUUUGAUAGGCUGCCCGCAAAAAGAGUUUACCGACCGCAUAACAAUUCAUUCUUGUGUGUAGCGCGUAGGGCCAUGUCUCCCGAACGAUCAUAGUACGGCCGCUCAUCUAAUAUCAAAUCAAUCGGUAGAUCUCACUUCCCUUCCCCCAUACCAUAGCCGGAAGGGAUAGCGUAUCUACAGAAGAGAGAGUACGGGGCCUUGGCCUUACCCUUAAUUUAGUUUAGACGCGGCUCGAAUGCCUUUACGCUAUAGGCUAUGUCAAGCAUGCUUCUUUGACAGAAAACAAACU
rnacentral:lncRNA from 1 species